CCGAGUGAGGGCCCUCGUGCCCGACCUCCAACCCUUUGUCGAACCUCCUUGUUGCCUCGGGGGCGACCCGGCCUCCGGGACGCGGCCGCCCCCGGUGGGCCACCGAAUAACUCUUGCGUUCGUGCGUCGGAGUCAAGUAAAUGGAAUGA
rnacentral:misc_RNA from 1 species